UUUAGAUCUGUUAAAAAAGGGUAUUUUGUUUCAUCUCAAAGUGUACAAGAUUCAGGUGACAUGAGGAGUUCACAUGAUAUAACGUAACCAACCAGGCGCCGUCAGGGUGUACGGGUCAUUGUGUGUCGUUGUUUUUUCUCUCUCUACCGGACCGACGUUGAGGCAGCUACAUGCUACCUUUUCGCUACACGUUAUUGUCUUUUGAGCAAGAGAGCAAGAUAUUCAGACAGCUUUGGGGAGCAAGACCCUCUUUUGUUAUUGCUGUGGGUUGAUUAGAGGACCGUGUAUCCUGCAAAGAGGAUGAGGGAGAGCUGUAACCUGGACUGAUGAGAGCCGUGAGACCUGCAUUGUGCUGCUGCGUGUGCGCGUGCGUGCAUGUUUUCGUUGUAUGGGUUCCUGGUUUCAAGACCUCCAUGGAGAUUUCUUCUGCUGAGAUUCUUCCUGUUCUGUAAGAUGGAGGGGAACUCAGUGGUCGUGGCGAGCCAUCCAAAAACCGAACUGUGAUCUUGUCAGUGACUUGGGGAUUUAGUUUGUAGAUUGUUGUUUGAUUGUUCACGUGUUUAUUGACCUUCAUAGUAUUUUUUUUAUUACAUUUUCUUAACCAAUACAAUAUACCACAAGAAAAUACUUACCUGUUAGUUGUGUGACUGUUUUUUUCUUGUCCACUCAAUGCAAAUUGCUAAUACCCCUUUCUCCUAUAGCAAGACUAGACUUCUGAUUUACUGGUCUGCAAGAAUAUUAGCACAUUGAUGAAAACACAUAUCUGUAUCACCCAAGCCUUUAUCACUGACAGUAAGAGCUGAGGUGGGUUACACAGGCUUCAAGCUUAGUACUGGGGUGGGCAAAACAGCUGAGGGACCUUGAUUAGAUCCUCAGGUGCCAUUGCAUGUGCCUGAAUAGCAUGGGUGUGUUGUUUGUUGUGGUGCAAUAGUGUGUUGCACCCUGAGGGGGUGAAGUUGUGGUGUAAGUUGCAGUGCUGUAUUAUGUUGCCGUGUCUUACGAGUGUGUAACUCUCCUUUGGUGUGAAUUGGAUUGGCAUACACUAGUUUCCUGCCCAUGCGGGGACACUGGGGGGAAAGUAUAGGACUCAGUGAUCGAUUGACUCUGUGUACAAAGCUGUGACUGUAUGAAUUACCUAAUAAAGUUAUCAUUUUCUAUUACUCCAGGUUUCCUCUUCCUUACAUUGUGUGUGCAGUAAAUUCCUUCUGCGUGCAUGCUCUCUACAUUCUCAUACAGUAUCUGAGACAAGGUUUAUUUCAGUAUUAAACAGUUUAACAUUGAUGAUAACAGUCUCACAUCCUUUGUGCUUUCAGGGCCUUCAGCAGUACUUCCCAAAGUCACAGAUGAAUCACAAACAACAGAUUUUUCUCCCCGAGUGGAAUAAGGGUGCUGUCCGCAGACUUGACCAUCCAUGAAUUUCCCAUUGGUCAACGCUUGUGUUGUUUCAGCCAUGUUCUGGCCUGUUCUGAUGUGUGCCUUUUUAUCUCGUUCGUUAUUCUGGCCAUGUUCCGGCCUGUUCKGAUGCCUGUGUUCUCCCAUGAAUUUAAGGAACACGUGUCAGUAAUGAUGUGAAGUGGUUUUUGUUUUUUUGCAUGCUUUUUUUUUACCGUUAUUCAAGCAUUUGGCAUGUAAGAAACAUUAGAUUUGAUAUUCAAUCAUAGAUAUAGCUUGGCAUGCAACAUMUUUGAUAAACAGAUGGUUUGUUUUCUAUUAUAUUGUAUUGUAGCUCAAUGUUGUAAUGUCACUCCCGUCACUGCAUGUAUAGACAGAUUGACGGUGUCAGAAAAAUUACGCAAAGGUUUCUUUACAGCACCAAGGGCUAUGGCAACUGCCACUGUGUCCAGAUUUUGGCGAGACAGAUGAACCCACUAGGAUUGCUUCAGAAAAAGCCAAAACCACCUUGCCAGUCCGUCCUUUGCUCCUUGCUAUUGCUGCUCAACUUGGAAUAGAGCAACACCUAAUGUGCAGAGCCAAACACAUGGACAGCUUGUGCAGCAGGGAUCAUCUGUAGAGCUUGAGAAUAAAGCGGAUCCAUCUCUGUCUGAAGAAUGUGGAUCCCGUGGAGGCACAAGGGGACACCGUCCUUGAUGAAGCACCUCUGCAAACUCCUGCGCCCCAGCCCAGGCAGCCAUCAGCCUCUGUCCCAGGCUACUAUCACGAUGUGUGCGGUGGAACUGCUCCCAACAGCAGAAAGUAUGGAUGAAGUGUGAGAUGGAGGCUGUCAAGGGGGGGACUUGGAGAUAGGACUCGGAAGCAGAGUUAGGAGAAUGCUGACAAAGAUCAGGUUUUUAUUYAACCCAGAACCAUACAAUAACUGGCUAACAGAGGGCGCCUCAAAAAGAGGGAAUGAUUAGAAAACUUACAAAUGAAAAAUCCUACCUUCCGUGAAGGGAUAAGAAAUAAACAACACUUAACAGAAAACCGUUCCGAAGAGGGAAAAGCGAUGAAAAGGGUUAACAAAAUAAAUCUCCUCCUGAGAGGUAAACGCUAUGAACAUUAACUAAAAAUAACACUCCUAUAAUGAGGGACAACAAUACUAAUCUA